UGAAAGUAUUCAGAUGAGAUAAUAGUGCUG
rnacentral:piRNA from 1 species